UCCUCCUCCUCCUCCUCCUCCUUCCUGUACUUGCACCUACGUAACUCAUCUUCUAUCUCUCUCUCCAAUUUCAGUCGGCUUCUAAGCAAAAUCUCAAUUUUCUCUUUGAAAACUAGCUAGUCAGCGUCCAAUUCCAACAUCGAUUUUGCCUUUCAUUCCACGUAAUCGUUUUCUUUGGUUUUCAUCUAAUUCCGAUUCUAGGGCUUACCCAUAACAAGAAAUUGCAUUAAUUAGAUAUUGAAUAUUAUUAAGUUUUAUGGAUUGAUCACCCGCUAUACUAGUUGAAUUCAAUCUGGAAUGGCCACUGGUGCCGGUGACGACAACGACGCCGUUUUGAGCGAUGUGGAGGGUGAGGAUCCGGUGCCGAUCGCUAUUAGAAGUCCGAGUUUGGAAGAUUUAUCCGUAGAGAGAUAUCGCGACCUGCUUGCUGAGCUCGAUCGCGAGAGAGCUGCUCGUGAGGCAGCCGAGACGUCCAAGUCUGAACUGCAGGUUUCGUUCAAUCGGUUAAAGGCGCUCGCGCAUGAGGCGAUCAGGAAGCGAGACGAGUGCGGGAGGCAGCGGGAUGAAGCUGUACGCGAGAAGGAAGAGGCUUUGAAGGAGAAGGAGAGAAUAUCUGCGGAAUUGGUUGAAUUGAGUAAGUUAAAGGAGGAGUCUGUGAAGCAGAGAGAUGAGAUUGGGAAGCAAUUUGAGGAGGCGGUGAAAGCUAGGGAUGGAUUGCAAUCGGAGAUUGAGAGUUCGAGGCACAUGCUAGUCAGCGGAAUUGAGAAGAUAUCUGGAAAAGUGAGUAACUUCAACAAUUUUGCUGCUUCAGGGUUGCCUAGGUCGCAGAAAUACAUUGGAUUGCCGGCUGUUGCUUAUGGGGUUAUUAAGAGGACAAAUGAGAUCGUUGAGGAGCUCCUUAGGCAGAUUGAUGCGACGGCAAAAUCUAGAAAUGAAGCAAGAGAACAGAUGGAGCAGAGGAAUUACGAGAUUGCCAUUGAGGUUUCUCAGCUUGAAGCUACAAUUAGUGGAUUAAGAGAUGAAGUGCAGAAGAAGACUUCAUUGAUUGAAAGUUUAGAGAAGAGUGUUGCGGAAAAGGAAGGGAAGGUUUCUGAGAUUGAGAGAGAGAUGGUUGAGAAGACACAUUUGGUAGAAGAUGAAGCGUUGGAGCUGAGGGAGUUAAUUAGUGAGUAUGAUGAUAAGUUAAGGAAUUUGGAGUCGAGGAUGGAAUCGCAGAGGCCUUUAUUGAUUGAUCAAUUGAAUUUUGUGGCGAAAAUUCAUGACCGGCUUUAUGAUGUUAUUAAGAUAGUUGAUGCUAAUCAUCUAGAUUCAGAGUUGUCAGAGUCCUUGUUUCUUCCACAACACACGGACAUGGAGGAGAAUAUACGUGCUUCUUUAGCAGGGAUGGAAUCAAUUUAUGAGUUAACUAGAAUUGUUGUGGAAAAAACAAAGAAUUUGUUGGAGGAGAAGAGUCAUCAAGCAAAGAGUUUGAAUGAAUCGAUAGGGCGAUUGGUUAAGGAGAAAGAACAAAUUGGAUCUUUACUUAGAAGUGCUUUGUCAAAGAGGAUGAAAUUGGACCAAUCUUCCAAAUCAAACGAAUUGUUCAAAGCUGCAGAGAAUGGCUUACAAGAGAUUGGCAUAGAUUUCAAAUUUAGUAAGAUUCUCGGGGAUCUUAAGGUUCCAACUUCUCAAGAUAAAGAUGGCUCUUUUGAUAUGGAAGAGGAUGAAAUAUACACUCUGGCUGGUGCACUGGAGAAUAUUGUCAAGACAUCUCAGCUCGAGAUCAUUGAGCUUCAGCACUCUGUGGAGGAAUUAAGGGCAGAAGCGAGUUUACUUAAAGAGCAUAUAGAGGCUCAAGCAAAGGAGCUGGACCAUAGAAUGCGUAGAAUAGAGGAACUUGAAGAGAAGGAGAGAGUGGCAAAUGAAAGUGUUGAAGGGCUAAUGAUGGACAUUGCUGCCGCUGAAGAAGAAAUAACAAGAUGGAAAGUAGCAGCAGAGCAAGAGGCUGCUGCUGGCCGAGCUGUUGAGCAAGAAUUUGUGGCUCAGGUAUGCUCACCCAUAGCAACAGGUUCAUCUGACACUUUGUUGGUCAUAUGAACAACACCUUUCUCUUAUAUGGCAUUUGAUUAUAUCUAUCUAAUGAACUCGUUAUGCCAUUAAACUUCCAAAGACAAAUGCUGGUUCUUGGUGGAAGAGAUUUAGAGCUAAAGAGAUUCUGUAAAAUCUUGGGAACCCUAAUAGGUGACUACUAAGCAAAAUAUUAUAGUAUUGGCUAAAGACAGGAUAAAACGUUGCAAUUGAAAAUUGAAAAACUAGAGGUAAUGGGAGAGAAUGAAAAAUUUGCAAAUUCGUGACAGUUUGAUUAUGAUCCAAUGCCCUUCAUUCUUUCCAAAUUCAAUAGAUGUAGUAUGAGUUUUAAGUACUUACAGACUGAAACAUGUGAAACAUUAUUGAUUUUAGUAUCAUUGCAACGUGAUGUCAAUGUUGUAUUUUAUCUAGUGUAAUAUAUAAAGCAAAGAUUAUGAGUUCCAAUCUCCUUUUAAUACUAGAUUUUUUUGAAGCAAGUUCUAAUGAUGGUUUGUGUGCCUAAUUAUUAUGUCCUUGGUUAUGUACAUGCAGCUGUCGGCACUUAAACAGGAACUUGAAGAGACAAGUCUAGCCAUGUUAGAAUCAGAGAAAAAGCUAAAAUUCAAAGAAGAGACAGCAACUGCUGCCAUGGCAGCAAGAGAGGCUGCUGAGAAGUCAUUGAGAUUGGCUGACAUGAGAGCAUCUAGGCUGAGGGAUAGAGUGGAGGAGCUUAGCCAUCAGCUUGAAGAGUAUGAAACUCGAGAAGACUCAAGGGGACGAAAUGGUCCUAGAUAUGUAUGUUGGCCAUGGCAGUGGCUUGGAAUUGACUUUGUGGGCAUCCGCAAACCUGAAACACAACAACAGAAUUCAAAUGAAAUGGAGCUUUCUGAACCCCUUUUGUGAUUAUACAUUUACUUUUUUUUUUCUUCUUCUUUCUUUUUUUUUUGUUUAAUCUCCAAUCCAACAUCUUUGAAAUAGACAAGUUUCAAUGAUGCAGCAAAAGAUUUUACUCUAAUAUCAUAUGCUUGAAAGAUAACAUUGCACGUUUGAAGAUUUUGCAUAUGUGAAAAUAAAGACAAUUUAGUAUCUGAUAAAGAACAUUCACAUAUCAACACCAAUUAUUGGUAUACAUACCGAAAAACUUAGCCAACUAUUGGAUAUUAGUUAACAAGAAUUUGUGAUCAUGAAUCUAUUUCCUGACGGAGAAAAUCUUCCAGGCCUUAUUUUGAGAACAAAUACACAUUCCAGUAUCAUCUUUAAGUCUUUUUUUUUUUUGCAGCAAGAAUGUUUCAGACACAUUUCAAAAUAGCAGAUGCACACAGUUAGCCAUGCAAAUCCUUCUUAUGGUAGAAAAAAUAAAUUCAAUGAAGAUCAAAGUAAGUCUACCCUCACUCAGUUCAGAUGUUUGAAUUCCAGAA
rnacentral:misc_RNA from 1 species